UCAACAGGAACUCCUGAUUCUGUGAUGUAAACCUAACACAUUACACUCUUGGGGCCAAAACUAUCUCAACCUAUUCUCAAACUUUCAAUGGGUAAGGGGGCCGGCUCGCUGGCGUCGUUGGAGCCGCACCGUGGAAUGUGAGUGCUCAGUGGGCCACUUUUGGUAAGCAGAACUGGCGCUGCGGGAUGAACCA
rnacentral:ncRNA from 1 species